AGCCAGGAUAGUUCAAUUGGUUAGAACGUUAAUUUCAUGCAUUAAGAAUGAGAAUUCAAAUUUCUCUCCCGGCUA
rnacentral:tRNA from 1 species